UAGAGUUUGAUCCUGGCUCAGGACGAACGCUGGCGGCGUGCCUAAUACAUGCAAGUCGAACGAACUCUGGUAUUGAUUGGUGCUUGCAUCAUGAUUUACAUUUGAGWGAGUGGCGAACUGGUGAGUAACACGUGGGAAACCUGCCCAGAAGCGGGGGAUAACACCUGGAAACAGAUGCUAAUACCGCAUAACAACUUGGACCGCAUGGUCCGAGUUUGAAAGAUGGCUUCGGCUAUCACUUUUGGAUGGUCCCGCGGCGUAUUAGCUAGAUGGUGRGGUAACGGCUCACCAUGGCAAUGAUACGUAGCCGACCUGAGAGGGUAAUCGGCCACAUUGGGACUGAGACACGGCCCAAACUCCUACGGGAGGCAGCAGUAGGGAAUCUUCCACAAUGGACGAAAGUCUGAUGGAGCAACGCCGCGUGAGUGAAGAAGGGUUUCGGCUCGUAAAACUCUGUUGUUAAAGAAGAACAUAUCUGAGAGUAACUGUUCAGGUAUUGACGGUAUUUAACCAGAAAGCCACGGCUAACUACGUGCCAGCAGCCGCGGUAAUACGUAGGUGGCAAGCGUUGUCCGGAUUUAUUGGGCGUAAAGCGAGCGCAGGCGGUUUUUUAAGUCUGAUGUGRRAGCCUUCGGCUCAACCGAAGAAGUGCAUCGGAAACUGGGAAACUUGAGUGCAGAAGAGGACAGUGGAACUCCAUGUGUAGCGGUGAAAUGCGUAGAUAUAUGGAAGAACACCAGUGGCGAAGGCGKCUGUCKGUCUGUAACKACGCKAGGYMGAAAGUAWKUWAMAAWAUYCCCU
rnacentral:rRNA from 1 species